GCUUCGAUCUGAGAUAAGGUUCUGCUUGUUCUUUGAUGGUAAAAUGCAGCAGCAGGUGCUUAUGUCUGAUCUUAGUGCUGUGACCCCCACUGUGCUAAGACUGGAGAUAAGCCUCUGCCUGUUGUCUUGUAAAGAGCAAGCAGGGCCUUGUCUCCAAUCUUCUUCCCCACCUCUGAUGAAAUGUUCAGUUAUUAGGGUGCAAUUCAACAUCAGGCUAAGGUGAUUGUUCCAUCAGCUCAAGUAGGUCUGUUUGCCAGACAAAACGAUCUCCCCGCUCUUUCCCCUGCAUUCUGUUCUGGGAGUUCAUCCAACCAGUCCUGGGGAUGGGGAGCAUGGAAAGUUUCGUUGCACUAGCUGGAGUCACUGUGCUAGCUCCCACCAGUUCAGCUAUUUAGUUGAAUCAUGCACUUAAUAAAUUAUUUGAACCAAUUAAUCCAACUUUGUGGCUGAACAAAAAAAGAAGGCUCUUAAUCCCAGUUUGUGGAGCAAUCAUAACAUGCCGCUGCCACAGAUGUGACUCCCUGGCCUUGCCACUCACAGCAGCAGCAUCAGAAGGGGGAAGGGCAGGUAGUAUAUACACACAUAUUUGAAAUAUAUAGGAAGCCAAAUGUUCUAAAUAAAAAGGAAUCUGAAAGAUGCUUGGAAAAUCUAAAUAUUUUUUUAAAUGAGAAUUUGGCUGCCUGUUAGUCUCCAUGUUUGCUUGUACAAUGCUAAUUUACUAUGAAUGCCAUUCACUUUGACAUCAUAUCACCAGGAAUUGUACAUUUAUAUAAAUGUUGUUAAUUAGUCUUUUGUUUUUCCUAUGUUCACUUUGUUUUGCAAGAUCGAAAAAAAUAGCUGGACCAUUUCAGGUCAACUGCCCUGAAUUUUGCAAUGUAACCUACCUCUCAAUGCACUCUGUAUUCUGUGAAAGGAACUAGAUUCAACAGUGCAAUUUUAACAAGGUGGCAUUGGAAAAGAAUGUCAUAAAUGAGCAUUACACUUCGUAUUUUCUACUCUGUAUCAACACUGUCAUGGCAGAAGAGGACAGUUUAAAGAACAAAGUAGAGGGCAGGAAUAAAUGGGCAGUUCUCAAAAUGAAAGGAACAUAAGCAUUGAUAUUUUUCAGGGCUCUGUAUUGGGUAUGGUGCUAUUUAAUGAAUGGUCAGGAAUAAGUGGUGAUAUAGUAAACCUCCUGAUAGCACUAAAAUAUUAAGGAGAUGAAAAUGAAAAUGUACUGCAAAGAACUACAGAAGGAACAUUUCCAAACCAGUUGAAUUAGAAACGAAAUGGCAAAUUAUGUUCAGUGCAUGUAUAGAAGAGCACUAGCCAAUGUGGUUUCAUCCAGAUAUUGUGGAGCCUGUCUAUGGCUGAUGGAAACUAUAGUCCAAAACAUCUGGCUACUCGUAAGGUAAUGUUCAUUAGGACAACAACUGUCAAUUUCAUAUGCACAUUAAUAUUAUCUGAAGCGGUGGGAACUAACAAGUACUGAUGUAGCUCUGAGGCCAGAAAGAACCCUUGGGAUUCAUCAUGUUCACUUCCAGUUGUGAAUCUAAAAUUAUGGCUCCUGAAUCCUUAUUGAACUUGGAUUUUCAUUUGAGCCAGAGAAGAGUUUCCCCUCCCUAUCUUUCAGCUUAUUGGCAGGGCUGGGCCAAUACAUUUUGGCACCUGAGGUGCACCACAAAAUGCUCCCGUUCCACCAGGGAAGAAAGGGUAAGUGAAGCUCUGCAUCAGGAACAAGGGGGGGAAUAAAGAUCUACAAUGUGAACAAGGCAAAUUCCAUAGAACUGGAAAGAGUGCAAAGAUGAUCAAGAGACUGGAGCAUCCUCUCUAUAAACUAAAUCUAAAAUGUUGGGGGUGACUAAAAAGGGGGGCAUGUCAGAGAUUAUCAAAUUACCCAAAGCAUGGAAAAUAAUGAACAGAGAUAAUUCUUUAUGUUUCUCAUGACAUUAGAACCACAGCUUUCCCAAGGGAAUUGAUUGGAAUUGCUUUCGGGAAGAGCAAAAGGGAGUCUUUCAUCACAGAGUGUCUAGCCAGUGGAAUUUGCUGGUGGUUUUUCUGCUGAAAAUGAUCUCCAGUCCAACCUGCAUUUUUUCCCCAUGGGAGAAAAGAUAAGAAUAUUCAGCACUAAGCGACCUGCCAACGCAUUCUUUAUGAAUAUCAAAUAGGCUUGCAAAAUAUUAAAUAUAAAUUUAGGCCACAAAUACUAUGCUUAUCGUUAACUUUGUUUGCCUUUGUAUUUUCAUGCCACAAGAACUUUGUUUCUUAAAACACAUGGUGGCCCUGAUGAAUUUCAUUCCAAAAUAUUCUUAGCUAAAGCAGAUUUAAUCACUCAGAAGUUGGGACUUCCGGGGAGGCGCCUCCGGCAAUGGCUGAAUUCCUCCGAUCGGGAGGAAUUUGCUCCGUGAAAAGCAGGGUCUGACCGCCACGGUGAAGGCGGAGACCCAUAGAAAUCACAGGCGGGAGAAGCCUGUGAACCUGGGAUUCGGCUGGCACCAUUUGCGCCCCCCCUACUCGCGGGGAAACCCUGUUUUGGGGAUCCGGAGCGACGUGGGGUGAGCGGCGCGGUGCUUUGAAUCGACCGCUUCUUUCACGGAGUGAAGCCGCAUUGCUGUUGCCGGAGAGCGCUGACUUUUUCCUGUGGACAAUUGGAUUUUAAACGACUACCCGUGAGUAGAACGGAAAAUUGGACCUUGAAACACUUUAAUUUGGCGCUGAAGCGGGAAGGCUCUAAACAGGAAGUCCGCCUCCCGUUUUGUAAAUAGAUUGAAGCAAAGACGUUACAAGCUAAAGUCUUUGAAAGCUUUUGAUAAAGGAUUAAAUUCCCACCGGACAAGAAUAUAUAACCCCUCUUGGAAGCAGGAGAAGAGAGGGGAAGUUUUGGAUUUAGUGUGCCUGCAGAAGAGAGUCAAAAUUAAAUCGCCACUGCUCUGAACCGGGAAAAGAGCUGCCAGAUGACGUUUGGGGAAUGUUUAUUGACAGAACGGAUUUGACAGCUAGCUAAAAUAAGAAAGGUACUGUCUCCAUUGUCCUCUUCUGCGUUUAAAAAUGGAGGAGAAGUAACUGAAAAUUGAAACUAUUGUUACUUGCUUGAGUUGUGUUUGAAAGAAUUGAUACAAAUGGAGACUGUUUCCCUCUAGAGGGAGCAUGUGAAACUGUUAGGGAGAGCUCCAGCUGCAAGAUAAGAUUCUGAAAAAUAGAGUCUGACCUUGGAUCACUCAAAAUGUUGAUAGGAGAAGCCAUUGUAACGGUAUCAUACAAGAUAAACUACUCGCUGGAACAGCUUCAUAAAAAGACAGAUGACACGAUCUCUAAAAUUGACAACUUGGAACAGAACGUGAUUAAUUUGAAUCAAAAAGUGAGUGUUAAUACAGAAACAACUCAGGAUUUGGUACAGGAACAUAUCUUGGUUGAACAAAUGGUGGAGGAAAAGGAGAAAGCUGAUGAUGUGAAAAUGGUGGAGAAAAAGGAGAAAGCUGAUGAUGAUGUGAAACCAAAAGUAGUACAAGCGGGAUCCUUAAUUUCUCAGAAGCAGAUUGAGGAUUAUAAAUUGAGGUCUUUCAUGACUGAAUCUAGCAAAAGUCAAAUUUUGAGGCUAGGAUCCCGGCUUAGAUUGAAGAAGGAAAGUUGGAAAGAACCCUCUAUCCAGGGAUUGACUGACUUUUGGGACAUGGACCU
rnacentral:lncRNA from 1 species